rnacentral:rRNA from 1 species
GGGUUGUGAGGUUAAGCGACUAAGCGUACACGGUGGAUGCCCUGGCAGUCAGAGGCGAUGAAGGACGUGCUAAUCUGCGAAAAGCGUCGGUAAGGUGAUAUGAACCGUUACAGCCGGCGAUGUCCGAAUGGGGAAACCCAGUGCAAUUCGUUGCACUAUCGUUAACUGAAUACAUAGGUUAACGAGGCGAACCGGGGGAACUGAAACAUCUAAGUACCCCGAGGAAAAGAAAUCAACCGAGAUUCCCCCAGUAGCGGCGAGCGAACGGGGAGCAGCCCAGAGUCUGAAUCAGCUUGUGUGUUAGUGGAACGGUCUGGAAAGUCCGACGGUACAGGGUGAUAGUCCCGUACACCAAAAUGCACAGGCUGUGAACUCGAAGAGUAGGGCGGGACACGUGGUAUCCUGUCUGAAUAUGGGGGGACCAUCCUCCAAGGCUAAAUACUCCUGACUGACCGAUAGUGAACCAGUACCGUGAGGGAAAGGCGAAAAGAACCCCGGCGAGGGGAGUGAAAAAGAACCUGAAACCGUGUACGUACAAGCAGUGGGAGCACCUUCGGGUGUGACUGCGUACCUUUUGUAUAAUGGGUCAGCGACUUAUAUUCUGUAGCAAGGUUAACCGUAUAGGGGAGCCGCAGGGAAACCGAGUCUUAACUGGGCGUUAAGUUGCAGGGUAUAGACCCGAAACCCGGUGAUCUAGCCAUGGGCAGGUUGAAGGUUGGGUAACACUAACUGGAGGACCGAACCGACUAAUGUUGAAAAAUUAGCGGAUGACUUGUGGCUGGGGGUGAAAGGCCAAUCAAACCGGGAGAUAGCUGGUUCUCCCCGAAAGCUAUUUAGGUAGCGCCUCGUGAAUUCAUCUUCGGGGGUAGAGCACUGUUUCGGCUAGGGGGUCAUCCCGACUUACCAACCCGAUGCAAACUACGAAUACCGAAGAAUGUUAUCACGGGAGACACACGGCGGGUGCUAACGUCCGUCGUGAAGAGGGAAACAACCCAGACCGCCAGCUAAGGUCCCAAAGUCAUGGUUAAGUGGGAAACGAUGUGGGAAGGCACAGACAGCCAGGAUGUUGGCUUAGAAGCAGCCAUCAUUUAAAGAAAGCGUAAUAGCUCACUGGUCGAGUCGGCCUGCGCGGAAGAUGUAACGGGGCUAAACCAUGCACCGAAGCUGCGGCAGCGACACUAUGUGUUGUUGGGUAGGGGAGCGUUCUGUAAGCCUGCGAAGGUGACCUGUGAGGGUUGCUGGAGGUAUCAGAAGUGCGAAUGCUGACAUAAGUAACGAUAAAGCGGGUGAAAAGCCCGCUCGCCGGAAGACCAAGGGUUCCUGUCCAACGUUAAUCGGGGCAGGGUGAGUCGACCCCUAAGGCGAGGCCGAAAGGCGUAGUCGAUGGGAAACAGGUUAAUAUUCCUGUACUUGGUGUUACUGCGAAGGGGGGACGGAGAAGGCUAUGUUAGCCGGGCGACGGUUGUCCCGGUUUAAGCAUGUAGGCUGGUUGUCCAGGCAAAUCCGGAUAAUCAAGGCUGAGGUGUGAUGACGAGGCACUACGGUGCUGAAGUAACAAAUGCCCUGCUUCCAGGAAAAGCCUCUAAGCAUCAGGUAACAUUAAAUCGUACCCCAAACCGACACAGGUGGUCAGGUAGAGAAUACCAAGGCGCUUGAGAGAACUCGGGUGAAGGAACUAGGCAAAAUGGUGCCGUAACUUCGGGAGAAGGCACGCUGGUGUGUAGGUGAAGUCCCUGCGGAUGGAGCUGAGACCAGUCGAAGAUACCAGCUGGCUGCAACUGUUUAUUAAAAACACAGCACUGUGCAAACACGAAAGUGGACGUAUACGGUGUGACGCCUGCCCGGUGCCGGAAGGUUAAUUGAUGGGGUUAUCCGUAAGGAGAAGCUCUUGAUCGAAGCCCCGGUAAACGGCGGCCGUAACUAUAACGGUCCUAAGGUAGCGAAAUUCCUUGUCGGGUAAGUUCCGACCUGCACGAAUGGCGUAAUGAUGGCGGGCUGUCUCCACCCGAGACUCAGUGAAAUUGAACUCGCUGUGAAGAUGCAGUGUACCCGCGGCAAGACGGAAAGACCCCGUGAACCUUUACUAUAGCUUGACACUGAACAUUGAGCCUUGAUGUGUAGGAUAGGUGGGAGGCUUUGAAGCGUGGACGCCAGUCUGCGUGGAGCCAACCUUGAAAUACCACCCUUUAAUGUUUGAUGUUCUAACGUUGGCCCCUGACCGGGGUUGCGGACAGUGUCUGGUGGGUAGUUUGACUGGGGCGGUCUCCUCCCAAAGCGUAACGGAGGAGCACGAAGGUUAGCUAAUCCUGGUCGGACAUCAGGAGGUUAGUGCAAUGGCAUAAGCUAGCUUGACUGCGAGCGUGACGGCGCGAGCAGGUGCGAAAGCAGGUCAUAGUGAUCCGGUGGUUCUGAAUGGAAGGGCCAUCGCUCAACGGAUAAAAGGUACUCCGGGGAUAACAGGCUGAUACCGCCCAAGAGUUCAUAUCGACGGCGGUGUUUGGCACCUCGAUGUCGGCUCAUCACAUCCUGGGGCUGAAGUAGGUCCCAAGGGUAUGGCUGUUCGCCAUUUAAAGUGGUACGCGAGCUGGGUUUAGAACGUCGUGAGACAGUUCGGUCCCUAUCUGCCGUGGGCGCUGGAGAAUUGAGGGGGGCUGCUCCUAGUACGAGAGGACCGGAGUGGACGCAUCACUGGUGUUCGGGUUGUCAUGCCAAUGGCACUGCCCGGUAGCUAAAUGCGGAAGAGAUAAGUGCUGAAAGCAUCUAAGCACGAAACUUGCCCCGAGAUGAGUUCUCCCUGAGACUUUAAGUCUCCUGAAGGAACGUUGAAGACGACGACGUUGAUAGGCCGGGUGUGUAAGCGCAGCGAUGCGUUGAGCUAACCGGUACUAAUGAACCGUGAGGCUUAACCUUACAACGCCGAAG